UAAGAGGUCCAGCCUGCCCAGUGACACUAGUUCAACGGCCGCGGUACACUGACCGUGCAAAGGUAGCGUAAUCAUUUGUCUUUUAAAUUAAGACUCGUAUGAAAGGCACCACGAGAAUUAAACUGUCUCCUUUCUCUAAUCUGUGAAACUGAUCCCCCCGUGAAGAAGCGGGGAUUUUAGUAUAAGACGAGAAGACCCUAUGGAGCUUCAGACAAAUAAUAUGCCCCCCCCCUUUUUUCCUUCCUCGCUAAAAAUAUCCGAGCAUCUUAAUUAUUUAGUCUUGGGUUGGGGCGACCACGGAGUAAAAAUCAUCCUCCGUGCUGAACAGGACCUCCUUAAAUAAGAGCAACAGCUCAACGAAUCAAUAAAUUGACACAUUUGACCCAAUUACUUGAUCAACGAAACAAGUUACCCUAGG
rnacentral:rRNA from 1 species